UCAAACUUGGUCAUUUAGAGGAAGUAAAAGUCGUAACAAGGUUUCCGUAGGUGAACCUGCGGAAGGAUCAUUAUUGAAGCUGUCGAGAGGUUGUUGCUGGCUUUCCGGAGCACAUUGUGCACACCUCUCACACUUUAUUCAACCCACCUGUGCACCUUGUGUAGACUUUCGGAAGUGAACUUCAGUCUUUGGGCUGGUCGGGGGUAGUUGCUCCUCUGGGGCUUCAAUCCAAUUUCCGGAAGGCUAUGUUCUCUACAUAGACUAUAUUAUGAUUGUCUUAUCAUGGUCUUUUUUAAAGACUGUAACAAAAAAAAUCUAAUACAACUUUCAACAACGGAUCUCUUGGCUCUCGCAUCGAUGAAGAACGCAGC
rnacentral:misc_RNA from 1 species